rnacentral:rRNA from 1 species
AUGAACGCUAGCUACAGGCUUAACACAUGCAAGUCGAGGGGCAGCAUGGUCUUAGCUUGCUAAGGCCGAUGGCGACCGGCGCACGGGUGAGUAACACGUAUCCAACCUGCCGUCUACUCUUGGACAGCCUUCUGAAAGGAAGAUUAAUACAAGAUGGCAUCAUGAGUCCGCAUGUUCACAUGAUUAAAGGUAUUCCGGUAGACGAUGGGGAUGCGUUCCAUUAGAUAGUAGGCGGGGUAACGGCCCACCUAGUCUUCGAUGGAUAGGGGUUCUGAGAGGAAGGUCCCCCACAUUGGAACUGAGACACGGUCCAAACUCCUACGGGAGGCAGCAGUGAGGAAUAUUGGUCAAUGGGCGAGAGCCUGAACCAGCCAAGUAGCGUGAAGGAUGACUGCCCUAUGGGUUGUAAACUUCUUUUAUAAAGGAAUAAAGUCGGGUAUGGAUACCCGUUUGCAUGUACUUUAUGAAUAAGGAUCGGCUAACUCCGUGCCAGCAGCCGCGGUAAUACGGAGGAUCCGAGCGUUAUCCGGAUUUAUUGGGUUUAAAGGGAGCGUAGAUGGAUGUUUAAGUCAGUUGUGAAAGUUUGCGGCUCAACCGUAAAAUUGCAGUUGAUACUGGAUAUCUUGAGUGCAGUUGAGGCAGGCGGAAUUCGUGGUGUAGCGGUGAAAUGCUUAGAUAUCACGAAGAACUCCGAUUGCGAAGGCAGCCUGCUAAGCUGCAACUGACAUUGAGGCUCGAAGGUGUGGGUAUCAAACAGGAUUAGAUACCCUGGUAGUCCACACGGUAAACGAUGAAUACUCGCUGUUUGCGAUAUACUGCAAGCGGCCAAGCGAAAGCGUUAAGUAUUCCACCUGGGGAGUACGCCGGCAACGGUGAAACUCAAAGGAAUUGACGGGGGCCCGCACAAGCGGAGGAACAUGUGGUUUAAUUCGAUGAUACGCGAGGAACCUUACCCGGGCUUAAAUUGCAGAUGAAUUACGGUGAAAGCCGUAAGCCGCAAGGCAUCUGUGAAGGUGCUGCAUGGUUGUCGUCAGCUCGUGCCGUGAGGUGUCGGCUUAAGUGCCAUAACGAGCGCAACCCUUGUUGUCAGUUACUAACAGGUUCCGCUGAGGACUCUGACAAGACUGCCAUCGUAAGAUGUGAGGAAGGUGGGGAUGACGUCAAAUCAGCACGGCCCUUACGUCCGGGGCUACACACGUGUUACAAUGGGGGGUACAGAGGGCCGCUACCACGCGAGUGGAUGCCAAUCCCCAAAACCUCUCUCAGUUCGGACUGGAGUCUGCAACCCGACUCCACGAAGCUGGAUUCGCUAGUAAUCGCGCAUCAGCCACGGCGCGGUGAAUACGUUCCCGGGCCUUGUACACACCGCCCGUCACACCAUGAGAGUUGGGAAUACCCGAAGCCUGUGAGCCAACUAUUUAUAGAGGCAGCAGUCGAAGGUAGAAUCAAUGAUUGGGGUG